rnacentral:rRNA from 1 species
GAUCAUAGCUCAGGAUGAACGCUAGCUACAGGCUUAACACAUGCAAGUCGAGGGGCAGCAUGGACCCAGCUUUGCUGGGUUUGAUGGCUACCGGCGCACGGGUGAGUAACGCGUAUCCAACCUGCCCUUUACUCCGGGAUAGUCUCCUGAAAGGGAGUUUAAUACCGGAUGUGUUUGUCUUUCCGCAUGGGAGCGACAAGUAAAGAUUAAUUGGUAAAGGAUGGGGAUGCGUCCCAUUAGCUUGUUGGG